rnacentral:rRNA from 1 species
CCUACGGGAGGCUGCAGUGAGGAAUAUUGGUCAAUGGCCGGAAGGCUGAACCAGCCAAGCCGCGUGAAGGACGAAGGUGCCAAGCAUUGUAAACUUCUUUUGUCAAGGGACAAAAUCAGGCUCGAGAGCCUGACCGAGGGUACUUGAAGAAAAAGCAUCGGCUAACUUCGUGCCAGCAGCCGCGGUAAUACGGUGGAUGCGAGCGUUAUCCGGAUUUAUGGGGUUUAAAGGGUGCGUAGGCGGGCUGUUAAGUCAGCGGUAAAAGCCCGGGGCUCAACCCCGGCGAGCCGUUGAAACUGGCUGUCUUGAGAUGUCGAGAGGUAUGCGGAAUGCGCAGUGUAGCGGUGAAAUGCUUAGAGAGUGCGCAGAACUCCGAUUGCGAAGGCAGCAUACCGGCGGCGAUCUGACGCUGAGGCACGAAAGCGUGGGUAUCGAACAGGAUUAGAUACCCGUGUAGUC